rnacentral:rRNA from 1 species
UACAGAGGUCUCAAGCGUUGUUCGGAUUCAUUGGGCGUAAAGGGUGUGUAGGUGGCGCCGUAAGUCGGGUGUGAAAUUUCGGAGCUUAACUCCGAAACUGCAUUCGAUACUGCGGUGCUUGAGGACUGGAGAGGAGAUUGGAAUUCACGGUGUAGCAGUGAAAUGCGUAGAUAUCGUGAGGAAGACCAGUGGCGAAGGCGGAUCUCUGGACAGUUCCUGACGCUGAGGCACGAAGGCCAGGGGAGCAAACGGG